rnacentral:misc_RNA from 1 species
UUGUGGAGAAGGACGCCGAAGGUGGGGCUGAUGACUGGGGUGAAGUCGUAACAAGGUAGCCGUACCGGAAGGUGCGGCUGGAUCACCUCCUAACAGGGAGACAUUUAAUUGAUUGUGAUGUCUAAGUUUUUUAUUCUUAGGCCGCAAUCCUGUCACCUUAAGGUCGAUCGGUACCUCAGAUUUAAGAAUUAGUCUUAUAAUUGAUUCUUUGAUUUCAGUUCCUAAACUUGUCUAGGUCACACCCAACAAAGGUUUCUCCUGGGCCAUUAGCUCAGGUGGUUAGAGCGCACCCCUGAUAAGGGUGAGGUCCCUGGUUCAAGUCCAGGAUGGCCCAUUCGUUGUUGGGGGUAUAGCUCAGUUGGUAGAGCGCCUGCUUUGCAAGCAGGAUGUCAGCGGUUCGAGUCCGCUUACCUCCACUGAAAACUAUCCUGAUAACUAAAUUGUGGAGAAAAAUUUGUAGAUGUGGCUUAGAAUUGUCUAUUGAGAAGAACCUAGCUUCUUAUCAUCUUUUAUAUAGUUGAUAACAUGCUGGGCUCCCAUGGUUUAUUCCAUGAGAAUUCAGUAGAACCUUGAAAACUGCAUAGAUUAGAAAGAAUAAAGCAUCUCAUGGAUGCAUAAUUCUGUUUUUAUAAUAUAGCCUUAAAACUAAAUUAUUUUUAUCAGAAUUCAUGUUUAAUUCUUGAGUAAAAGCCGAGCACAAUUUAUUUUGUGAUUGUAUAAAGGUCAAGCUACAA